rnacentral:lncRNA from 1 species
UGAACACAUUGCGGGUUCUGUUGAGCUGCAUGUUUCCGGAGUGUACUUGAAGUGUCGGCCUGCCUGAUGUUGAUAGCAUUGUGUCUUUGGUUGGUUCUCGGGAUUUCGGCCUUCACUGCUGUGGGUGGGGCCUUGCGGUCAGAGAUGUUUCUCACGACUUGUGCAUCUUGCCAGGAGAUUUUGGUGUUCUUCUCAAAGGCCCUUGGGGCUGGGGCGGUGUUGAGGUUGCCUUUGGAUGUGUUGUCCUUGUGUUCUGCGGUUUGGUCUCUGAAAUUUCAAGCUGUGGCUUCUGCGUGGACUUCUGGCUGAUUAUUGUCCGGGUUUUGUGGGG